AUUGAACGCUGGCGGCAUGCCUUACACAUGCAAGUCGAACGGCAGCACGGGAGCAAUCCUGGUGGCGAGUGGCGAACGGGUGAGUAAUGUAUCGGAACGUGCCCAGUCGUGGGGGAUAACGUAGCGAAAGCUACGCUAAUACCGCAUACGAUCUAUGGAUGAAAGCGGGUGAUCGCAAGACCUCGCGCGAUUGGAGCGGCCGAUAUCAGAUUAGGUGGUUGGUGAGGUAAAGGCUCACCAAGCCGACGAUCUGUAGCUGGUCUGAGAGGACGACCAGCCACACAGGGAAUGAGACGCGGCCCAGACUCCUACGGGAGGCAGCAGUGGGGAAUUUGGGACAAUGGGCGCAAGCCUGAUCCUGCAAUGCCGCGUGCAGGAUGAAGGCCUUCGGGUUGUAAACUGCUUUUGUACGGAGCGAAAAGGCUCUCUCUAAUACAGGGGGCUCAUGACGGUACCGUAAGAAUAAGCACUGGCUAACUACGUGCCAGCCGCCGCGGUAACAC
rnacentral:rRNA from 1 species